UAUAAAAUCGGUCGGCAAAAUAGAUCCAAGAUCCGGAGGGCCGAACCGUAUAUACCAUUCGACUCAGCUCGACGAACUGAGCAAUGUCUAUUCGUGUAACGCAAUAUCCGAUUUUGAUGAUCUUAUACGCAAACGAAAGCUACUGUUCCCCUCCAGAAUGCUACCGAACAUUUAACUUUUUAAGCAAAAUGAAUGGCACGGAGGGCCAUGUGUUGUAUACCAAUCGACUAAGAUCGAUGAACUGAACAAUUUCUGUAAGUAUGUGAAUGUGUG